AGUCAUCAACCCCUCCCGUUUCGUGCGGAGAGGUGAGUUGGAGCUGGGGGCUUGCGGCCGAAAGGUCGCUCCCCUCAAAUGCUUCGGUUGGGCCUGUGGAUCAAACUCGGUUGGGCGUUGUAACAACCUCGCUCUUGUCUGAGACAUUCCCCUCUGUUUGUGCCCUUCCACGACCUGCCUUCAUGAGCGGCGGUCAAAAAACAACUUUGAA
rnacentral:misc_RNA from 1 species